AUUGAACGCUGGCGGCAGGCCUAACACAUGCAAGUCGAGCGAGCGGCGGACGGGUGAGUAAUGUAUGGGGACUGCCCGAUAGAGGGGGAUAACUACUGGAAACGGUAGCUAAUACCGCAUACUAUCGGAUAACCCAUAUGGGAUUGGCUCGUAGGUUCGGUAAUGGCUCACCUAGGCGACGAUCCCUAGCUGGUCUGAGAGGAUGAUCAGCCACACUGGGACUGAGACACGGCGCAGACUCCUACGGAGGCAGAAGUGGGGAAUAUUGCACAAUGGGCGCAAGCCUGAUGCAGCCAUGCCGCGGGUAUGAAGAAGGCCCUAGGGUUGUAAAGUACUGUCAGUCGGGAGGCGGUAGCGAAAGAAGAAGCACCGGCUAACUCCGUGCCAGCAGCCGCGGUAAGAG
rnacentral:rRNA from 1 species